rnacentral:lncRNA from 1 species
AUCGUGCAGCUUCUCUUCUUCAUCGGUAAGUUCACUCCGGCCAGGAAGUGAAUAGAUUGCCUUCCGUUGUAGCUGAUUGACCAUGAGAGCCAAGUGGAAGAAGAAGCGUAUGAGGAGAUUGAAGAGGAAGCGCCGAAAGAUGAGGCAGAGAUCCAAGUAGAAUUGUACUGGGCAGUUCUUAGCUUUUGACAUAUCUCCGUCGCUCUAGGUUAUUGUGUUUUUGUCUUAUUUUCAGUGUUUGCAGUUAAAUUUCAGUAGUUACAUUGUGCUAAUGGCACAUAAACCUAAUGUAUUUCUUUUUCCGAGGUGUAUUGAAACUGUGGGAGCCAUUUUUGGCUCACGUUUAUGAUAUUUACUCCUUAAUUACUUAUUCAUCUCG